rnacentral:sRNA from 1 species
CCCAUGGACUUCAGAAAUGCCAGGGGCGG